UAAGCGAGGGGCUGGCGCUGGGGCGGCUUCUCCCGGGGCGUGCCCGGACCUGCCCGAGCGCCUCGUCUCGUCCCCGUAGGUCUAGGAGGUCGUGCCCGUGGUGGGUUCAGACGCUGGUUUCGAGACCGCUGCGCCCAGGCUGCUCGUGGGAGCAGCGUCCGUGCUAUGCUCGUUUUCGGGUGAAUUCUGGAAACGUUGGAACUUUGAUGUUGCUUUCAGCUCUUCGUCAGUGUCCUCUGGCCGCGUUUCGCAGAAACCCAGCAGGAUGGCCGCAAACAAGAGCAAGAGCCAGAGCUCCCUGGCCAUUCACAAGGGUCUAUGGGUGAUUGAAACAGACAUAGAACCAAAUCCAGCCCUCAAGAAUCUUCCAAGACUGAUGAGGGCAAUACUCAGCAGAUGUAUACUUCAUCGUUCUGCAAACUGGUUCCUGACUAUAAUUCCAAUGUGAUGUUUACAAUAGCCAUUUGUGGAGAUGAAGAAUGCAUUUUAGGUAAAAGAAGUUCCUUGAUUGUUAUACAUUUAUGUAGUGUUAUCAACACAAAACCAUAUAAUCUUGCUUCUAAGAUUAUAGCAUAGUUAGAAGCUUUAUACUAUUAUUCAUCGCUUUUGAAAAGUUGGCUCAUGUAUUUCAAGCAAUACCUAAUACCAAUCCCUAAAAUUUUAGUGUCAUAUAUCUACAACAGAGUUGUCAAAUGUUGACCUGCUAAAUAUAACUAGGUCAGGAACCAUGUCAAAGUAUACUACUCUUUGACUACACCCAAUAAAAUCUUAAAAAUAACUUACGAUCUUUUUAAUAACAAUAGCUUUGAUCAAUUUUAAGUAAAUUAAGUAAGAUUAUUAUACCUAUUGAAUGCUUAUUCACAUAUAGGCAACAUAAGCAGUGUCUAAUUUAUCAAGGGGCAAAAGAACAUACAUUUAUAUCAUUAGAUUACAAAUAAUUUUUUUCAAUCCAUAUGGCUGAAAAUUUCUUUUAUUAAUUUUUAUUGGCGUAUGGUUGCUUUACAAUGUUGUGUUAACCUCCACUACACAUGGAUUACAAAUAAAUUUAAUAGAGAAUGUAUUUUUCAUUAACUUAACACUUUUGCAUUUUCUCUAUGUAUUACAUUCUUUUGACUUGCUUGCAUUAAGUUCAGAUACCUUUGCUGAUAUUAAAUUCAGCAGCCAUAAGGAUAAUAUCGGAAUGAGAAGCAGAAUAUCAAAAAUUUAGUUUUUAUAUUUUUCUUUUCAUCUGAAGUGUUUAAUGUUACAGACAGAUACAUAGAUGCAUUAGUAAAAGCAGUACAAAAGCUAAUUUUAAACACAGAAAAUCCAUUGCAUUACAUAAUAAGCAUCAACAGAAUUAAUAGAUGAAUAAACUUUUGUUCUGGAAGGUUAACUGUUCCCAUGUAGUUAGAUUGCUCUUAAUAUUAUUACACAGCUAAAGAUGAUAUCUUGCCAAAAGUGGUAUUAACCAAUUUAUACUUGGUAUGUAGGUGUUUGGCCACAUCCAUAAAAAGUAACAGAUUUACAAGUGUUCUUAUUGAUUUGCAAAUUCAACAGCCAAGUGGUAAUUCACAUUAGGUCUAAUAAAAAACACAGUUUUUUGGCUGCCAGUAGGAGCAAAAAUCCAUGUGCUCAAAUUUUACCUUUUUAAAAAAAAAAAUUUUAUAAUUUAUCAAAGUCAUACACUUAAGUUACAAAUGCCUUUUUAGGAUCUUAAUGAGUUUCAUAAAAUAUUACAAUUUAUUCCAUUAUUCAUUAUUUAUAAAUCUUAUAUAACUAUUUUCAUAUUCAAGUUGUUUGAAGGCCUAUUUACUGUUAAUAUUUGUAUACAUCUUAUAAUUCUAUAAAUGUGAACAAAUGGCAAAAUUUAAAUAGUCAAACAAGGCCUGAAACUUAAGGAUCCUAUAUAAUUCAAAUUUUUUUUUCCUUAUUGUAAAUUAGCUUGUUAAAUUAUGUUGUAUUUUAGGACAAAGAUAAAAUCAGAAUAGUUAGUGGUGUGUGAGAAAAGUUGUUCUAAGCUAUGUAUGAUGGAGUGAAGAAAUAGAUAUAAAGAUAACCAGAGAUAGAUCAGAGAGAAGAAAAAAAAGGAAUUAGGUUAAGUUUACAAGAGUAAGUGAUUUAGUAAUCCCAAAACUGAAAAGUAUGCCCAGCAUGUUUCUGUACAUGGACAUUAAAGAAAGCCCAACAACAUUCAUAUUACAGUACAAUGACUGGAGUGGAGUUUUCACCUGAAUGUGAGUUGUCACAUAAGAGUUAGUUACUAUAGCUUCAGUAUCUAAGAGUGAUGAUAAAAUUAAGUCUCAAGCUAAGGUAAUGAUAUGUAGAACCAAAUGUUGAAAUAAACAUGAAGAAUUAGACCAGAGAGAUAAUCUACUUCCAAAUGUUGGAGACCAGGACUUUCAUAAUUGAGAAUAUUUAAAUUGCUUUAUAUAGUUUGUAUUUAUAAAUAUACAGUAGAAGACAGAGGUUUUCUCUUUAAAUGGUUGGUUUAUGUUGGAUACCUGAAAAUCCAUUACCCUAGAGGAGCUCUAAGUUAUCUUUCUACAGUAGCAUCUGAGCAGUGAGAGUGCCUGGGUUGCCCUAUCCAGGGGUGUAACUUAUAGUUUAUCAUAUCAUCUAUCCUAGAUAUUUAUAUUAUCAUAUAUGUUUGAUAAUAUUCUAGAAAAUUAGAAGGAAACAUACAUGGAAUCAAGUGAAGUAUUAGAGUAAGUUGUUCUGAUUUAUUGAGAAUAAUCUUUAUGCAAAUUAAAGUGAUCAUAGAACCAGAAUUACCAAACUCCUACUCACAAAACCUGCAUUAAUUCAGUUUUUUUUUCUACUGAAACUGUUUUUCAACUCUGUUACAAUCAUUUUGCACAAUCUUUUGUAAAAUUUUAAAGACAUUCUAAGGGUAAGAUUAUAAGUAUUUUAAGAUUAUUCAACACUGUAGAAACCAAUAUUCAGUGAUGUGAGAGAAAAAUUGUUAUAAUUUUCAGGAGAUGAAAAGAUUGAUUAAAAUAGGAAAAAGUACAACAAAGAAUCUUGAUUCAUUCUUGAUUGAUUAAAAUAGGAAAAAGUACAACAAAGAAUCUUUAGACCCUGUAGAUUUUAAUAUGGCAUUUUAAGAAGCAUAUUCAUAACAAGUUCCAGAUUAUGUAUAAAAUAUUACCACAUAAUAAAGAAAUGUAAUACUAUCAGCAAAGCAAGGAGAUGGAUUUUAUACUAGAAGUCACUAAGUAAUAAACAGUCAUCAUCUAAUUUGUUCAAAACAAUUUUUUGAAAACAAGCAGGAAGAAAAAAGAAUAUGACUUUAUUUGUUUUAUCCUCAAAUGACAGUAUCAAUUAAACUUAAAGAGUCAAAGGUUUUAUAAAUCAUACUUCAAUUACCAAUACCAAUUAAUUUUCUUGCUAAUAUAUAUUAACAUAGGUAUUCUAAUAUCCUAUUAUUUGUAAAGGGAAGUAAAUUCUUUUUCAACAUAUAUGGCACUGCAUUUAAAAAUUUAGUUAUA
ensembl:lncRNA